UUUUAUCACUUCAGCAGACACCAGGGAGACAGAAAUAAAGUCUGCAAUGGCUGUGAGUUUUAAAGCUAGUGGGGGGAAGAGUUCUAAAUCCACACUUGGCUAUCUAGUGUGAGCUUAAAGGAAAAGCUGAUUUACCACAUCUACCAUCCCAUCCAAGAACCAUGCACCCAAAGCAAUUAAGAGCUAAGCAUACGGACCCCUGAGGGACAGUUAUUUUUAGUGUGGAGAAAAGAAAGAGAAAAGAAGAGAGGAGUCAUGGACCCUACUUUACGGUUGCCAUGGAUGCAAGGUCAGUCUUCCACACUUGGAUCUACCAGCAGAGUUCAGACAGGUCAACGUGUGACCGGCCCAGGCCCUGGGGUUAAAAGUUCAAGCCGCGAUGGAAAAACCAAUAUGUCCACGCAGAGUAUGCUGUACAAUUUAUUUCAAUUUACAUCAAGCCAUGCAUAUAAAAUUUAGAUAAAUUCCAUUCAAAUCUGAUGUUGCCUGACACACAAUGUAUGCAAACAGAUGUCUGUGGGGCUUUUUCUGUGCUAUAGAAAACAACAUUAAAUUUAAAAAUAUGUC